rnacentral:rRNA from 1 species
GAUGAACGCUGGCGGCGUGCCUAACACAUGCAAGUCGAACGGAGUCCAGCCUUUAAGACCUUCGGGUCAAAGAGGGGAAGACUGAGUGGCGGACGGGUGAGUAACACGUGGGCAACCUGGCUCAUAGAGGGGGAUAACAGAGAGAAAUUUCUGCUAAUACCGCAUAAGCACACACUGCCGCAUGGCAGAGGGUGAAAAGAGAAUCGCUAUGAGAUGGACCCGCGUCUGAUUAGCCAGUUGGCAGGGUAAGAGCCUACCAAAGCGACGAUCAGUAGCCGAUCUGAGAGGAUGAACGGUCACAGUGGGACUGAGACACGGACCAAACUCCUACGGGAGGCAGCAGUGGGGGAUAUUGCAGAAUGGGGGGAACACUGAUGCAGCGACGCCGCGUGAGUGAAGAAGUAUUUCGGUAUGUAAAGCUCUAUCAGAAGGGAAGAUAAUGACAGUACCUGAAUAAGAAGCCCCGGCUAACUACGUG